rnacentral:lncRNA from 1 species
CGGGGGAGGCGCGGGGCAGGAGCGCUCGCUGGCUGAGGGGCAGAGGGCAGGACCGGCUGUUUCUGCGCUUGACUCCCUCCCCCUGGCUGCAGGAAGCUCCGAGCCGGGUUUCGCUGCUGGCCGCUGGGCAGGCUGCGGCGUGGGGCCCGGCUCCCUUCGCGGGCCAGGCUGGGGAGUAGCGGCGGGGCAGUGCCUGGCGGAGCGGCGGUGCUGGGGGCCGGCUGGCCAUGCGGAGAGCAGGCUGCGGGAGGUGCAGCUCCGAACCCUGGCCUGGCCACCGGGCGAUGGAGGAUGGGCUGCCCGGAGCCGCAGCUCGGAGCCCGGGGGUACCGUCUGGGGUUGGAUCCUGAGGCUCCUCUGUUCUUCACGCUGAUCCACUGAAAGAGUCCCUGAACUUGUCCAUGUGUGUCUGAGUCUGGAGCCCCAGGUCACCAUGCACCUGGAAGGGAAUGGCCAGUCAGGCAGCUCAACUUCUGGUGCCAGGGCAGGUCUGUGUGACAGCCAUGCCUGUCUACAAUGACAGGUAAGAAGGCUUUUCUCCAACCUAUUUGGCUGUGAAGAAUGG